rnacentral:rRNA from 1 species
UAGGGAAUCUUCGGCAAUGGACGAAAGUCUGACCGAGCAACGCCGCGUGAGUGAAGAAGGUUUUCGAAUCGUAAAACUCUGUUGGUAGAGAAGAACGUUGGUGAGAGUGGAAAGCUCAUCAAGUGACGGUAACUACCCAGAAAGGGACGGCUAACUACGUGCCAA